AGAGUUUGAUCAUGGCUCAGAACGAACGCUGGCGGCAGGCCUAACAAAUGCAAGUCGAGCGCGCCUUCGGGUGAGCGGCGGACGGGUUAGUAACGCGUGGGAACGUGCCCUUCUCUACGGAAUAGCCUCUGGAAACGGAGAGUAAUACCGUAUACGCCCUUUGGGGGAAAGAUUUAUCGGAGAAGGAUCGGCCCGCGUUAGAUUAGGUAGUUGGUGGGGUAACGGCCUACCAAGCCUACGAUCUAUAGCUGGUUUUAGAGGAUGGUCAGCAACACUGGGACUGAGACACGGCCCAGACUCCUACGGGAGGCAGCAGUGGGGAAUCUUAGACAAUGGGGGCAACCCUGAUCUAGCCAUGCCGCGUGAGUGAUGAAGGCCUUAGGGUCGUAAAGCUCUUUCGCCUGUGAUGAUAAUGACAGUAGCAGGUAAAGAAACCCCGGCUAACUCCGUGCCAGCAGCCGCGGUAAUACGGAGGGGGUUAGCGUUGUUCGGAAUUACUGGGCGUAAAGCGCGCGUAGGCGGAUUAGAAAGUUGGGGGUGAAAUCCCGGGGCUCAACCCCGGAACUGCCUCCAAAACUGCUAGUCUAGAGUUCGAGAGAGGUGAGUGGAAUUCCGAGUGUAGAGGUGAAAUUCGUAGAUAUUCGGAGGAACACCAGUGGCGAAGGCGGCUCACUGGCUCGAUACUGACGCUGAGGUGCGAAAGUGUGGGGAGCAAACAGGAUUAGAUACCCUGGUAGUCCACACCGUAAAC
rnacentral:rRNA from 1 species